UAUUAUAUUCCAACUUUUUGGGUAUUUCUGAUUUAUCCCACUAUUUCGUUUGACGUUUUCCCUUUUCUAAAACCCCCAAAAUCAAAUCCCUAAAAUUUCCUCUCUUCUUUUUUUUCUCCGUUCGUUCUUUUCCCCUCUCUAUAUCGUAUAAAAAAUUUCAUAAACCUUAAUGAUUUUCGUUCAAACCACUGAUUUUACAAAGGAGGUUGAUUUGAUUUCAGUAAUCUGAUUUCUUUUUUAAAGUAAUUCGAGGAAUCUCGUUUCACCAACUUGAAAGGAAGUUCAAAUUUCUCUGCUUGUACUUCAAUUCCUGGUAUUUUUCAUAUAGGGAGAGAGCAAGAGGAGCAGCGACCGGCGAGAGAGAUGGUAGGAGCGUUUUGGGGAACAAAAGUGAUGGAGAUAGUGAAGAAGCAUAAUUCUGGUGAUCUCGUUUGGAAGAGAAUUAAGCUCACUUCCACCCGCAAGCCAACGCCAAGAAGCAUCUCCAUCGCGUUUGGCAGGGACAAUGAAUCAAAGUAGACAAAUUCCCAUGAAGAAGGUAAUAGCACUGAACACUCUCAUGAUCUAAGCCUUAACUCGGAUGGUCCAAAGAGUUUAAUAGCAAAUAAUGAUGGGUCAUCCCCAAGUUCAGCCCCACGCCAAGAAGAACUUGUUAGGUACUUAGUAGAUCUAUCCUCAACUCAGCAUCCAGCAAUGAUCCCAAACUCAAAUGUUGGUGAACGGUCUUUUGGUUGGUUUUGGCGUGUACCAAGGUUAAAUAUGAUGGUUUGGGUUAUUUAGUAUUAUGGUGUUCCUCUGUGGUAUGUAAAAAUUUAUAUAUAUAUUUGUGUUUGAUGGAAAUGGUAAAUUUUGUGAAUAGUUUGAAAGUGUUUUGCUUUGGCUUAUAUGACAUGUAAUAGGUGAAAAUUUGUAUAUGUCUUGAUUGUGUGUUUAUAAGUGAUCUUGUUUUAGACCUUGGUGUAUUGUACUCUUGUUGAGCUAGUUGAUCACUUGAUAUAAACCUUAUAAAGUGUUUGAGUUAUGGUAUAAAUGAAUAUGUUUUAAAUGGUAAGAGGAAUGGUAAGUUUUGAUA